UACAGAGGUCCCGAGCGUUGUUCGGAUUUAUUGGGCGUAAAGGGUGCGUAGGCGGCGCGGUAAGUCGGGUGUGAAAUCUCGGAGCUUAACUCCGAAACUGCAUUCGAUACUGCGGUGCUUGAGGACUGGAGAGGAGACUGGAAUUCAUGGUGUAGCAGUGAAAUGCGUAGAGAUCAUGAGGAAGACCAGUGGCGAAGGCGGGUCUCUGGACAGUUCCUGACACUGAGGCACGAAGGCCAGGGGAGCAAACGGG
rnacentral:rRNA from 1 species